AUGGUGGCACGUAGUUUUGGGGUAAGAAACCAUAUUGACUUACCUGCUCGGUGAUAAAUACUUCUCCCUUUAGAUUAUCUGCGCUCAUCUCAUAAAAAUCCAUCUUUAGAACAAUCUCAUGGUUCACCACGAACCCAAUAAUCAAAUUGAUAAUCUCAUAUAGUGAAGUGGAUUUCAAAGCUCAAUGACUAUUAGGUCAAUUCAUUUCUCAAUCAUCUCAAAAUACUCAAAUCAUG
rnacentral:lncRNA from 1 species